rnacentral:miRNA from 1 species
GCUCAUCAAUUGGUUGUGGCU